AGUAUGGAGCUGACAAACAUUCUCUUUCCUUCUCCUCCUCCUCUUCCUCCUCAUUCUGUUGAAUUGCUGGUUUCUGUAGUCUAUUAGGCUUCUUAUUAAUAGUAAUAAAAUGUUCAUUCAUUAACUCUCUCAUGCCUGCAUACCAGCUAUAGUCACUGUCUUUGCCCCCAAGUUAUGCAGUCUUUAUAAAGUUGUUCAGUAGCAGGGAAAUGAGUUGGGAAAACUGAUAUUGCAUCUGUAGCAUCAGGUACUAUUUAACCAGUGGGAGGGACUGAUAAAAUUAGCAAGUUGACUAACCACUUCCCUUCCUUGUGGCUCUUUAAUAUUAUAACGGAUACAGAAAAGUUCAGAAGGACUGAGCUAGUUUGCGAAACCACAGCACACUUUGCUAAAGAGGGAAUGCACAACAAAACGGAAAUGAGGUCUUACUGUGUUGCCCAGGCUGGUAUCAAACUCCAGUGAUCAAGUGAUCCUCCUACCUCAGCCUCCCAAACAGAUAUGACAGCUGCAUAGAUUCAACCUACUAUGAAAAGCCAAAACAUGGAAUAUUACACUAAUUAAAACGGUUACACAACAGAACAUGGAAUGUGCGACACUUCAUCUUGGGAUGCAAAUUUUUGUGCUAAAAAAAACUGAGAAAAACAAAAAGAAAAACAUGUAUUUCUGAGGAACUUGUUUUUAUAUCUGGCAUAA